rnacentral:tRNA from 1 species
GGGGCCGUAGCUCAGUUGGGAGAGCGCUUGCAUGGCAUGCAAGAGGUCGAGGGUUCGAAUCCCUUAGGCUCCA